rnacentral:rRNA from 1 species
GACGGAAGGUGCAAGCGUUGCUCGGAAUCACUGGGCGUAAAGGGUGCGUAGGCGGCUUGGUAAGUUGGGUGUGAAAGCCCCGGGCUCAACCUGGGAACUGCAUUUGUGACUGCACAGCUGGAGUGCGGCAGAGGGGGAUGGAAUUCCGCGUGUAGCAGUGAAAUGCGUAGAUAUGCGGAGGAACACCGAUGGCGAAGGCAAUCCCCUGGGCCUGCACUGACGCUCAUGCACGAAAGCGUGGGGAGCAAACAGG